UACGGAGGAUGCGAGCGUUAUCCGGAAUCAUUGGGUUUAAAGGGUGCGUAGGCUGGUAUUUAAGUCAGUGGUGAAAUUUUCGUGCUUAACAUGAGAGCUGCCAUUGAUACUGGGUACCUAGAGUGUAUUUGAUGUGGGCGGAAUGUGUUGUGUAGCGGUGAAAUGCUUAGAUAUGACACAGAACAUCGAUAGCGAAAGGGCAGCUCACAAAGUUACAACUGACGCUGAUGCACGAAAGCGUGGGGAUCAAACAGG
rnacentral:rRNA from 1 species